rnacentral:sRNA from 1 species
UAGAAUUAAGUACUGCCUCGACUCGAGU